rnacentral:rRNA from 1 species
CUGGCGGCGUGCCUAACACAUGCAAGUCGAGCGAGGAGAUCCUUCGGGAUGAUCCUAGCGGCGGACGGGUGAGUAACACGUGGGCAACCUGCCUCAUAGAGAGGAAUAGCCUUCCGAAAGGGAGAUUAAUACCUCAUAACAUUGCAGUUUCGCAUGGAACAGCAAUUAAAGGAGCAAUCCGCUAUGAGAUGGGCCCGCGGCGCAUUAGCUAGUUGGUGAGGUAACGGCUCACCAAGGCGACGAUGCGUAGCCGACCUGAGAGGGUGAUCGGCCACAUUGGGACUGAGACACGGCCCAGACUCCUACGGGAGGCAGCAGUGGGGAAUAUUGCACAAUGGGGGAAACCCUGAUGCAAGCAACGCCGCGUGAGUGAUGACGGCCUUCGGGUUGUAAAGCUCUGUCUUCAGGGACGAUAAUGACGGUACCUGAGGAGGAAGCCACGGCUAACUACGUGCCAGCCGCAGC